UACGUAGGGUGCAAGCGUUGUCCGGAUUUACUGGGCGUAAAGAGCGUGUAGGCGGCUGGGUAGGUCCGUUGUGAAAACUCGAGGCUCAACCUCGAGACGCCGAUGGAAACCCCCCAGCUACGAGUCCGGAAGAGGAGAGUGGAAUUCCUGGUGUAGCGGUGAAAUGCGCAGAUAUCAGGAAGAACACCCGUGGCUAAGGCGGCUCUCUAGUACGGUACUGACGCUGAGACGCGAAAGCGUGGGGAGCGAACAGG
rnacentral:rRNA from 1 species